GACGAACGCUGGCGGCGUGGAUUAGGCAUGCAAGUCGAACGGUACGGACCUUUCGGGGUUCAGAGAGUGGCGAACGGGUGAGUAACACGUAGGUAAUCUACCCUCAAGACGGGGACAACCCAGGGAAACUUGGGCUAAUACCGGAUGUGUGUAGUGGCUAUUUUUCUGAUUAUCAUUAUUUACGUAAGUGAGUAAUAAUAAGAAGGGAAAGUGGUUAUUACAUAAAAGGUGGCGUAAGCUGCCGCUUGGGGAUGAGCCUGCGUCCUAUUAGUUAGUUGGUGAGGUAACGGCUUACCAAGGCGAUGAUAGGUAGGCGGCCUUAACGGGUGGUCGCCCACACUGGGAUUGAGAUACGGCCCAGACUCCUACGGGAGGCAGCAGUCGAGAAUAGUCUACAAUGGACGGAAGUCUGAUAGUGCGACGCCGCGUGAACGAAGAAUCCCUUCGGGGUGUAAAGUUCUUUUAUACGUGAGCAGUGUCCUUUAUAUUAAUAGUAUAAGGGGAGAGAUAUUAGCGUAUGAAUAAGCAACGGCUAA
rnacentral:rRNA from 1 species